GAUGAACGCUAGCGGCAGGCUUAAUACAUGCAAGUCGAACGGGAUUCGGGGUAGCAAUACUUUGAUGAGAGUGGCGCACGGGUGCGUAACGCGUAUGCAACCUACCUUUAACAGGUGAAUAGCCCCGAGAAAUCGGGAUUAAUACACCGUAACAUUGCGCUGUGGCAUCACAGUGCAAUUAAAGAUUUAUCGGUUAAAGAUGGGCAUGCGUGACAUUAGCUAGUUGGUGAGGUAACGGCUCACCAAGGCAACGAUGUCUAGGGGUCCUGAGAGGGUUAUCCCCCGACACUGGUACUGAGACACGGACCAGACUCCUACGGGAGGCAGCAGUAAGGAAUAUUGGUCAAUGGGCGCAAGCCUGAACCAGCCAUGCCGCGUGCAGGAAGACGGCCCUAUGGGUUGUAAACUGCUUUUGCAGGG
rnacentral:rRNA from 1 species